CCUCCCUCUGUCUCCCGCUGGCGUAAUUUCCGGGACGUCCUGUGUGGCUGCAACAGGUAACUCCGGGGGCCGCGUACGUUUUUGCCAGUUUUGUAUUUGCGGGAGCCUUAACUAUUUCUUGUGCUGUGACAGAGGGGCUGUGGGUGGAUUCUGGCUCCAUGUGGUCUCCUUGUCUGGUGCGUAUCCUCUCUCGUUGUGCUGGAUCUCUCGUUAUCAGUAGUUUAAUGUAGUGUGGUCACAGGUAAAUGCUGGUAGCGGCUUGCUGCUCUUGCCUCGUCUCACUGGUUGCAUGAACAGGUGCUGUACCAUAAGGAUCAAAUCCAUCACCUCCAUUGGCUCCCUCCCGUCUGCAUGACCUCUGCUGCUUUGUCCUGCUUCAAGUUCCUGUCCGUCCGUGCAGCUGUUUCCCGGCUCGGGUUUGGCUGGCUCCGGCGUGCUGCGGUGCUUUGCUGCCGUCCGUCCUAUUGCGCUGGUCGCCCACCUGUGGUUGGGUCGUUCGCCUUCGCCGCGGCUCGUAGCAGCCCGUUCUCGGCUGCCAGCGUCCGCUCUUUUUUUUAGUGAGGGUUUCGUGACCCCUUUUAUCUGGUUCACACUUUCGGAUUUCGUUUUUCAUUCAAUUCCGAUUGUGUUCAAUUGAUGCUGGCGAUUUGAUUUGUAUUAGCAGUUUUAUCAUUUCAUCUGGUGAUAUUUUAACUUUGUAUAUUUGCUGAUUAUAUUUGGUGCUUUUCUUUUUGUUUCAGGGGCUGACGGCCUGUAGUGGUGUGGGUGAUCGUAGGAGAUCCUCCUGUCUGCUGUGCCGUUUCCAGGGAUGUGGGUCGUUCACGGGUGUGCUCUUUUCACGUGUGUCUGGGGGAACUUUUACUUUGGGGACCCCUCCUUUCGCUUGCCCUAGCUACUUUUAGGCCGAAGCCCUUGAUUAACUUUUGUUUUUGCAUUUUCUUUUGUUUGGAUCCUUUGUAUUAAUAAAAUAUUAUUGUGACUAA